CCAUAAAGUGUAUUAUGCACCAUAAUGACUCUUAGGAUUUCAUCAGGUUAAAAUUGCCCUGAUUGGCAUCCAUACUGGGAGCACGGGUCUUAAUUUAACGUCAGCUGACACUGUUGUGUUUUUGGAGUUACACACGAACCUUGCUGAUAUUCAACAGGUGCCUUAGUAUUUCUGCUUCUUUUAAGUUUCUUUUAUGUUCAUAUUAUUUUGCAAUACUUUGAUUCUCCUAACAUUAUUUUAUGACUCUUCUUUACUGCUGCACUUUUUUGCUCUAUUCUAUGUGCUUUAGAUAUAGUUAUAUUUUUCUUACAUAUUAUAUACUAAUGAUGUGUAUUGGAUAUGUGUUGUGUGGUUUCCCAACAGGAGAUAGUUUAACAGUGAUUAUAUAGUUCAUAUCUUAUUUAUUCAAUUGAGUAGGUCAAUCAUUGGCACGUUACCUUAUGUCAAAUCCCUGAAGUUCCUUCUCUAUUAAACCUUUAUGAGUAAUUAGUUUUAAUAUAUAUUGCAUCCAAGACAAUGAGGAUGAAGUAUAUAUAUGUAUGGUUUAUAGUGAUAACCUGAUCUAAGAGACCAAAUUUGAACAUUAAUGAAAUGAUAAGCAUGAAGACUAUGUCCAUGAGUACAAUCUAUAACAGAUUGGAAUGCGAUAGGCUUGAAAAAACAAACACCUGAAUGACCUACAUAAGAGAACUAUUAGCAAUAAGGAACACAUGAAUAAUGAAGUGCUAAGAAAUUAUGUUGUGUUAAUUUCUUGUGCUGCAUUUUUAGUUUAGAUUCACAUCAUCACUCGGUGGUUUUCUUAUUUGUCUAGCAGCAUGAAGAAUAUUAUUGUAUAUUAGAAAGAAAGUGCAGAAACUCGGCCUACAUGGGAUAGUGUCAUUAAAAUAAAUCUGAAACGAACAUGGUUGGUUUCAAAGUACGUUUGUGCACAUGCGUGAUGGUCGACAUGGUGGAUCCGUGAUCAAUAUAAUCUAGGCCACUUCGAAAGCUGCUGUUAACUCCAUGACAAAUGUAAUCUUUUAUCGCGUUUCCAUCUCCGUUUUGAGAAACGGAAGUAGUGAAUACUNNNN
rnacentral:lncRNA from 1 species